rnacentral:rRNA from 1 species
GACCUCGAAUCAGGCAGGACUACCCGCUGAACUUAAGCAUAUCAAUAAG